rnacentral:rRNA from 1 species
GAGAGUCAAAAAGACCGCGAAACCGUUAGGAGGGAAACGAAUGCAGCUAAAUUAGCUCGGUUUCAGGCUCAGGAGGAUGUUGAUUUGCGAUGCCGGUCGUUAAAAGCCGAUAGGUUUUGAUUGCCGGAUAGUGGUCAUCUCCUCUGCACUCCUGUGCGUGAGCUAGCCAACAACAGUUGUUUGUGGCUGACAAGGGCAUUUGGGUAGGUAGUUCCCCUUCGGGGGAAAACGUAUAGCCAUCUGUCUGGAAGUCUGCGGGCGACUGAGGAAAACUAGCAGUGCAGGCCCUCCGGGUUUGGUCCACUUCUGGUCGUUCUGGGCACCGCUCUUGGGACUGCGUGCAGUGCCAUUUGACGGCUGUCUGCUCGAGCGGGAGAUUGGGCACACCUUGCGCUGUAGUUGUUGGUGUUCAAAUGGCUGC